UUCCCGGUGGGUCCCUUCUCAAAUCCACUGUUUCCACUCAAAAAGCGCUAUGCAAAGCGAAGCCAUACAACCCUCAAACUUGAGAUAGCUCAAACAAAAUCCAGACGAACACAGAGAGUGAGAGAGAGAGAGAGAGAUCAAAAUGGCUGUCUCUACUCUAACCGUUACGACCCCAAAGCUCUAUUCCCUUCAAACCUUCAAUCCCAAGUCCUUCUUCACCACCAAACCCUCUUCUUCUUCUUCACCUUCUUGUUGUUCUGGUUCUUCUCGCGCUUGUUUUUUGAAUGCAGACGAUGCGAAGCUCUCUAUAGCUUCAACUUCUGCAACCAAGAAGCGUGUAUUUGAUAUGGGUAUUGGGCUUUUAGCAGCAUCAGCUCUGGCUAUGUCACCGUUGGAUGCCAAUGCUACCAGAAUCGAGUACUACGCCACUGUGGGAGAGCCUCUGUGUGAACUCAACUUCGUCAAGUCUGGGCUUGGUUACUGUGACGUGUCAGUCGGCCCCGGUGCGCAAGCUCCUUAUGCUGAGCUUAUCGAUGUUCACUACACUGCAAGAUUCGCUGAUGGAACAGUCUUCGACAGUAGCUAUAAACGUGCUAGACCUCUCACUAUGCGUAUUGGUGUGGGCAAGGUCAUCAAGGGAUUGGACCAGGGAAUUUUCGGGGGUGAAGGAGUACCUCCAAUGCAAGUAGGUGGAAAACGUAAGCUUCGGAUUCCUCCAGAAUUAGCGUAUGGGCCAGAACCAGCAGGAUGCUUUUCAGGUGACUGCAAUGUACCUGCCAAUGCAACUCUUCUAUAUGAUAUUAAAUUUGUUGGUAUCUACAGUGGAAAUAGAAAGUGAAGGAAGCCCAAAUUCAUUUGAUAGCAAAUAGAUGGAAAGCCCAUGAAAAUCAAGCUUUGGUUCUCAAAGUUUAAAGCACCGAAGUUUCUAGUAUGGAUCAAUUUGUAUGGCUGAAUCUCAUGGCUGACACUGGUCACCUUUCUCAAAAGUACAAGACGUGCCUAAUAGCUGCCUAUCCCAAAUGCUUGCCGACUGUUUUUUCCUGAAGUAAGACUAGUACCAAGCACUGCUUGCAACUAGAAAUUCCUCUGUCAUUUCAGGCAGUAAUUGAUCACCCUGAUUGGUUUAACAAGUUGAGCUUCUGUCUUUGCUCAUGGCUUGAUACUUGAGCUUAUUGUAUAUGUGAUUUUGAACUAAUAAAGAAAGCAUAUAUUAUUGUGAAUUCUUUUUCCAAACCCUACAAGAUUUUGUUUUCAGAAUUUGAUUUAUGUAG